CACUGCGUGGCGGAGUGCUUUGAGCGCUGGACUAGGACUCUGAAGGCCAGGGUUCGAAUCCCGGUUCAGCCA